rnacentral:lncRNA from 1 species
AGGAACAUGACAUAGAAACACCCCAUGGUAUGGUCCAUGUCACCAUAAGGAACUCACUGAAGAGAAAUAGACCAGUUAUCCUGACAUACCAUGAUAUCAGGCUCAAAUGUAUGUAUCUGGUUAUGCACAUUCCCUUUUUAAAGGAAAAGAUUUUAAUUUUGAGUGUAUGAUGUCUGGGCAUUGUGGGUGUUUUCCGAUUCAGGAGCGGCUCUGGGUUUCAGGUAUCAGUACCCCACCAUGGACGAGCUAGCUGAGAUGCUGGUUUGUAUUCUCAUAUACUUAAGGUGAAGCAUCAUUGGUAUUGGAGUUGGAGCAGGAGCCUGCAUCCUCAGCAGGUUCGCACUGAAUCAUCCAGAGCUGGUGGAAGGUCUUGUGCUCAUUAACAUUGACCCGUGUGCUAAGGGCUGGAUUGACUGGGCAGCUUCCAAACUCUCAGGUUUUACCACCAACAUUGUGGACAUAAUUCUGGCUCAUCACUUUGGCCAGGAAGAGUUGAGAACCAACCUGGAGCUGAUUCAAAAUUACAGACUACAAAUUGCCCAAGAUAUCAACCAAGGAAACCUAGAGCUUUCCUUGAACGCAGAGACCUGGAGAUCGAAAGGCCUAUACUGGGCCAAAAUGAUAACAGAUUGAAAACGAUAAUCUACCUUACUGGUGGUGGGGGACAAUUCACCUGCUGUGGAAGCUGUGGGUUGAAUGUAAUUCCAGCCUCGAGCCUAUAAUUACAACUUUACUGAAUGACAGACUGUGGAGGACUGCCCCAAGUAGUUCACAGCCUGGGAAGCUCACUGAGGCCUUCAAGUACUUUUUGCAGGGAAUGGACUCCUUCAGCCAGCCUGUGACCAGCAGUCAGUCAGAUGGAACUCAAGAACUCUAAG